UACGGGGGGAGCAAGCGUUGUUCGGAUUUACUGGGCGUAAAGGGCGCGUAGGCGGCCAGCACAAGUCAGUUGUGAAAUCUCCGAGCUUAACUCGGAACGGUCAACUGAUACUGUGCGGCUAGAGUGCGGAAGGGGCAACUGGAAUUCUCGGUGUAGCGGUGAAAUGCGUAGAUAUCGAGAGGAACACCUGCGGCGAAGGCGGGUUGCUGGGCUGAUACUGACGCUGAGGCGCGGAAAGCCAGGGGAGCGAACGGG
rnacentral:rRNA from 1 species